UAGGGAAUCUUCCACAAUGGACGCAAGUCUGAUGGAGCAACGCCGCGUGAGUGAAGAAGGUUUUCGGAUCGUAAAGCUCUGUUGUUGGUGAAGAAGGAUAGAGGUAGUAACUGGCCUUUAUUUGACGGUAAUCAACCAGAAAGUCACGGCUAACUACGUGCCAGCAGCCGCGGUAAUACGUAGGUGGCAAGCGUUGUCCGGAUUUAUUGGGCGUAAAGCGAGCGCAGGCGGAAGAAUAAGUCUGAUGUGAAAGCCCUCGGCUUAACCGAGGAACUGCAUCGGAAACUGGUUUUCUUGAGUGCAGAAGAGGAGAGUGGAAUUCCAUGUGUAGCGGUGGAAUGCGUAGAUAUAUGGAAGAACACCAGUGGCGAAGGCGACUCUCUGGUCUGCAACUGACGCUGAGGCUCGAAAGCAUGGGUAGCGAACAGG
rnacentral:rRNA from 1 species